CCUACGGGUGGCAGCAGUGGGGGAUAUUGCACAAUGGGGGAAACCCUGAUGCAGCGACGCCGCGUGUGGGAAGACGGUCCUCUGGAUUGUAAACCACUGUUCCCAGGGACGAAGAUGACGGUACCUGGGGAGGAAGCUCCGGCUAACUACGUGCCAGCAGCCGCGGUAAUACGUAGGGAGCGAGCGUUGUCCGGAAUCACUGGGUGUAAAGGGAGCGUAGGCGGGGAUGCAAGUUGGGUGGCAAAACUACCGGCUCAACGGGUAGUCGCACUCAAAACUGCAGCUCUUGAGUGAAGUAGGGGCAGGCGGAAUUCCUAGUGUAGCGGGGAAAGGCGUAGAUAUUAGAGGGAACACCAGUGGCGAAGGCGGCCUGCUGGGCUUUUACUGACGCUGAGGCUCGAAAGUGUGGGGAGCAAACAGGAUUAGAUCCCGUGUAGUC
rnacentral:rRNA from 1 species